AGUUUAUGGAGUUGGGAGUUUAUGGGGUUGGGGACGGGAGAUCAUGGAAUUGGGGUUGGGAAUUUGUGGGAAUGAAAGCUCAUGGGAUUGGGAGCUCAUGGGAUUGGGAGCUCAUGGGAUUGGGAGCUCAUGGGAAUGGGAGUUUAUGGGAAUGGGAGUUUAUGGGGUUGGGAGUUUAUGGGGUUGGGGAUGGGAGCUCAUGGGAUUGGGGAUGGGAACUCGUGGGAAUGAGAGCUCACAGGAUCGGGAGCUCAUGGGAUUGGGAGCUCAUGGGAUUGGGGAUGGGAUUUUACGGGGUUGGGAAUGGGAGCUCACGGUAUUGGGAGCUCCCAUUGGGAAUUGGUUCUCAUGGGAUUGGGAGUUUAUGGGGUUGGGAGUUUAUGGGAUUGGGAGUUUAUGGAGUUGGGAGUUUAUGGGGUUGGGGACGGGAGAUCAUGGAAUUGGGGUUGGGAAUUUGUGGGAAUGAAAGCUCAUGGGAUUGGGAGCUCAUGGGAUUGGGAGCUCAUGGGAUUGGGAGCUCAUGGGAAUGGGAGUUUAUGGGAAUGGGAGUUUAUGGGGUUGGGAGUUUAUGGGGUUGGGGAUGGGAGUUCAUGGAAUUUGGGUUGGGAAUUUGUGGGAAUGAAAACUAAUGGGAUUGGGAGUGAAAGCUCAUGGGAUUGGGAAUGGGAGAUCAUUUGGGAUAGGAGUUUAUGGGGUUGGGAAUGGGAGCUCAUGGGAUUGGGAGUUUAUGGGACUGGGGAUGGGAGUUCAUGGAAUUGGGGAUGGGAGUUUAUUGGAUUGGGAACUCAUGGGACUGGGGAUGGGAUUUUAUGGGGUUGGGAAUGGGAACUCGUGGGAUUGGGAGCUCCCAUUGGGAAUUGGGUCUCAUGGGAUUGGGAGUUUAUGGGGUUGGG
rnacentral:lncRNA from 12 species